GAUGAACGCUGGCGGCGUGCCUAAUACAUGCAAGUCGAGCGAACAGACGAGGAGCUUGCUCCUCUGACGUUAGCGGCGGACGGGUGAGUAACACGUGGAUAACCUACCUAUAAGACUGGGAUAACUUCGGGAAACCGGAGCUAAUACCGGAUAAUAUAUUGAACCGCAUGGUUCAAUAGUGAAAGACGGUUUUGCUGUCACUUAUAGAUGGAUCCGCGCCGCAUUAGCUAGUUGGUAAGGUAACGGCUUACCAAGGCAACGAUGCGUAGCCGACCUGAGAGGGUGAUCGGCCACACUGGAACUGAGACACGGUCCAGACUCCUACGGGAGGCAGCAGUAGGGAAUCUUCCGCAACGGGCGAAAGCCUGACGGAGCAACGCCGCGUGAGUGAUGAAGGUCUUCGGAUCGUAAAACUCUGUUAUUAGGGAAGAACAAAUGUGUAAGUAACUACGCACGUCUUGACGGUACCUAAUCAGAAAGCCACGGCUAACUACGUG
rnacentral:rRNA from 1 species